UCGAGAAUCUUCCGCAAUGGGCGAAAGCCUGACGGAGCGACGCCGCGUGCGGGAUGAAGGCCUUCGGGUUGUAAACCGCUGUCAGAGGGGAACAAGUUCAUGGGGGUUCUCCCCUGUGUUUGAGUGAUCCUCAGAGGAAGCGCAGGCUAAGUCCGUGCCAGCAGCCGCGGUAACACGGACUGCGCGAACGUUAUUCGGAAUCACUGGGCUUAAAGCGUCCGUAGGCGGCCGUGCAGGUGGGGUGUGAAAUCCCUCGGCUUAACCGAGGAAUUGCGCUCCAAACCACAUGGCUUGAGAGAGAUAGAGGUGAGCGGAACUCACGGUGGAGCGGUGAAAUGCGUUGAUAUCGUGAGGAACACCGGUGGCGAAAGCGGCUCACUGGGUCUCUUCUGACGCUGAGGGACGAAAGCUAGGGGAGCGAACG
rnacentral:rRNA from 1 species